rnacentral:rRNA from 1 species
UACGAAGGGGGCUAGCGUUGUUCGGAAUUACUGGGCGUAAAGCGCACGUAGGCGGUUUUGUAAGUUAGAGGUGAAAGCCCGGGGCUCAACUCCGGAAUUGCCUUUAAGACUGCAUCGCUAGAAUUGUGGAGAGGUAAGUGGAAUUCCGAGUGUAGAGGUGAAAUUCGUAGAUAUUCGGAAGAACACCAGUGGCGAAGGCGACUUACUGGACACAUAUUGACGCUGAGGUGCGAAAGCGUGGGGAGCAAACAGG